UACGUAGGGUGCAAGCGUUGUCCGGAAUUAUUGGGCGUAAAGAGCUCGUAGGCGGUCUGUUGCGUCGGCUGUGAAAACCCGGGGCUCAACCCCGGGCCUGCAGCCGAUACGGGCAGACUGGAGUUCGGCAGGGGAGACUGGAAUUCCUGGUGUAGCGGUGAAAUACGCAGAUAUCAGGAGGAACACCGGUGGCGAAGGCGGGUCUCUGGGCCGAUACUGACGCUGAGGAGCGAAAGCGUGGGGAGCGAACAGG
rnacentral:rRNA from 1 species